GAAGUAAAAGUCGUAACAAGGUCUCCGUUGGUGAACCAGCGGAGGGAUCAUUACUGAGUUUACGCUCUACAACCCUUUGUGAACAUACCUACAACUGUUGCUUCGGCGGGUAGGGUCUCCGCGACCCUCCCGGCCUCCCGCCUCCGGGCGGGUCGGCGCCCGCCGGAGGAUAACCAAACUCUGAUUUAACGACGUUUCUUCUGAGUGGUACAAGCAAAUAAUCAAAACUUUUAACAACGGAUCUCUUGGUUCUGGCAUCGAUGAAGAACGCAGCGAAAUGCGAUAAGUAAUGUGAAUUGCAGAAUUCAGUGAAUCAUCGAAUCUUUGAACGCACAUUGCGCCCGCCAGCAUUCUGGCGGGCAUGCCUGUUCGAGCGUCAUUUCAACCCUCAAGCUCUGCUUGGUGUUGGGGCCCUACAGCCGAUGUAGGCCCUCAAAGGUAGUGGCGGACCCUCCCGGAGCCUCCUUUGCGUAGUAACUUUACGUCUCGCACUGGGAUCCGGAGGGACUCUUGCCGUAAAACCCCCCAAUUUUCCAAAGGUUGACCUCGGAUCAGGUAGGAAUACCCGCUGAACUUAAGCAUAUCAAUAA
rnacentral:rRNA from 1 species